GACGAACCGUGCGAACGUUGUUCGGAAUCACUGGGCUUAAAGGGCGCGUAGGCGGACGACCAAGUCGGGGGUGAAAUCUUUCGGCUCAACCGGAAAAUAGCCUUCGAUACUGGCCGUCUAGAGGGAGGUAGGGGCGUGUGGAACUUCCGGUGGAGCGGUGAAAUGCGUUGAUAUCGGAAGGAACUCCGGUGGCGAAAGCGACACGCUGGAUCUCUUCUGACGCUGAGGCGCGAAAGCCAGGGAGCGAACGGG
rnacentral:rRNA from 1 species